GACGAACGCUGGCGGCGUGCCUAAUACAUGCAAGUCGAACGCAGUGGGGACGGGUGAGUAACCCGUGGGUAACCUCCCAUCAGAGGGGAUAACACUUGGAAACAGGUGCUAAACCGAUACUGAUGGAUGAACCCGCGGUGCAUUAGCUAGUUGGUGAGGUAACGGCUCACCAAGGCCACGAUGCAUAGACGACCUGAGAGGGGGGUCGGCCACACUGGGACGGAGACACGGCCCAGACUCCUACGGGAGGCAGCAGUAGGGAAUAUGAGGCAAUGGACGAAAGUAUGACAGAGCAACGCCGCGUGAGUGAAGAAGGUGUUCGGAUCGUAAAACGCGGUGGUUAGAGAAGCGGUAGCUAAACAGAAAGCCACGGCUAACUACGUGCCAGCAGCCGCGGUAAUAC
rnacentral:rRNA from 1 species